GACAUGUCACGCGGUGACCGUGACAUGUCACGCGGUGACCGUGACAUGUCACGCGGUGACC
rnacentral:misc_RNA from 1 species